rnacentral:snRNA from 1 species
GUGCUUGCUUCAGCAGCACAUAUACUGAA